rnacentral:ribozyme from 1 species
GGAGAAGGCGCGGGCGUGGGCAUAUAGGGUGCCUAUCCAUGUUCUUUCCUCGGAUGAUCUCAAGCUUGUCCACACCUUCUUUGAC